GGGCGCGUAGCUCAGAUGGUCCAGAGCGCUUCCCUUACAAGGAAGAGGCCGGGGGUUCGAGUCCCUCCGCGCCCACCA
rnacentral:tRNA from 1 species